GUCUGAGGGGUGAUUAGGUCAUAAAGGCAGAGUCUAUACAAGCAGGGUCAGGUCUGAGGGAGCGGAGGACACAUAUGAGGCAACAUCUAUGAGAAAUGGGUCCUUAACAGACACAAUAUGGCACCGUCUUGAUCUUGAAUUACUGCUGAAAGAAGAUUCCCAGCCUCCAGAACUGAGGUUGCAACAGAGAAACAUGCCUAGCUUUUGAUAAGGCGACUCUAGGCUUCCUGGAGAACAUUUUCUGUGGCAGCAAGGUGCGGCCAGAGAGCAGACAAGGCCAGACCUCUCCUAGGUGCAGUGGAACAGGAGAGAAGAACUAUUUUAACCCUCAUUUGUAUUUUGUGGAGAGGCCACCAAUUUCCGUGAACUUGAACUCUUUUUCUCAGGUUCACAUAGCUGCCAAGGAGAGGAACUGGGACUCGAACCCACUGUGGAGUCAAUUCCAAAGAAGGAGCCUGAAGACCAUCUGGAACUCACUGAGCAUAGCUCUCCCUGAGAAGGGUGUCAUUUUCUUACAAACCAUUAUGAAGCACCUACUGUGGACCAGCCACUGAGUUCAGGACAGAGGCUAAAAGGAAG